rnacentral:lncRNA from 1 species
GGCUGGAUAUGUUGUUGAAUCUCUAUUGGAUUUGGAAUAUGAAAAUGGUUGUAUUGAACAUGAAAAAUGUAGAUAAAAGAAUAAGGAAUUUAUUGUGAACAUGGAAUAAACAAGUGAAAAGAAUGAAAAAAUCCAUUCAGCUGCUAUCUCUGAGGGGUUUCUAUUUCUCCUUCCUCUGAAUAAACAUUGAUGAACUGCUCCCGAUGAUUAUUGGCAUUCUUUAUAUUGAGAGUAGAUUAGUGUUAGGAUAUAUAGGUCUAUAGUGGUGAUAUAUGAAUAUGGUCAUAGUU